UUGUCAUGGCUUUUGCUGUAAUCUUCAUGGAUAUAUGUGUACUAAAUUGGGUUUUCUUUCCUUUCUUCUCCAGCCAAUGUUACUGAAGUUGUGAAACCAAAAGCCAGAGGAGGUUCGAAGAAAGCUCCUGCAAAGGUGUGGAAUUUGAUUAGAUUUUUCAUAAAAUUCUGUUUCUGUUGGUUCUUAUAGUUGUCAAAUGAAACAUUAACCUUCGAUCCCUGUGGUCAGCAGGCAAAACCUAUUGUGGUUGAAGAUGAAGAAGAAGAAGAAGAUGAUGAGGUGCUAGCGUUGAAAGACAGACUUGCAGCUUACAAUCUUAAUUCUUCCCCAGAUCACUCAACAGAAGGUAAGUCAAAUGUCCUAAUAUAUUAAGGGAUGUAUAGAAUAAACUAUUUUCAUGAUUACCAGUUUGUCUUCUAGAACAUAAGACCACUUCCCCCCCUGCAGCGAUGGAGACUGAGGCCCCAAAAGCUCAAAAGAAAGCACCUACUAGAAAAGCUGCUGCAAAAAAGAAGACUCUGCCAUCCAUUGCAGAUGUUUCUGAAGGUGAGGAUGAGAUUGAAAUUAGUGAUGAUGAUGAGUUUGAUCAAGAAGUAGCUGUGGGAGGGAAAAAGAAAGGAGGGAGGAAAGGAGCAACUGCAAAAGCAGCAACUAAACAACCCCCAAAGAAAAGAGGAGUAGCUAAUAAGCAAUCAGUAGGUAUUGGUCAGAAACUCAUAACAUCAAUUCUGAAGCCUGCAGAGAAUACUGAUAAUAGCUCACCUGAGAAAAAAGUGAGGAAAAUGAGGGCAUCCCCAUUUAACAAGAAAAGUGGUUCUGUUCAGACUUCACUGGAAAAUGAAGACGUGAGUCCUGUUUCUUCUUUGGGCAGUCUAGAAGAUGAAGUCAAUGAAG
rnacentral:lncRNA from 1 species